GCGAUUGGGAAAACAUUAGAAAACUGGGAGGUGAUGGAGGACUAGCAAGAGUGUGAAAUGUCAGUUAUGACAUAGAGAGAAUCCAAGUACAUCAGAGUCUUGUCAGCUGGGUGGUUUCUCUUUAAUUUCUGUUUCUGCAUCACACUCAUUGCUGGAGUAUCUGAGCACCUUCAGUAAAAACAGCCAUGGUGUCUUUGCUCUCUCAGCUUCUCCUCCCAGGAGAGCCAGUGUUUUUUGGAGGGCUUGUUUUAGUAGAAUCUUUGUGUUGUUUGUGUGUGUUGUAGAAUAUUUGUCGCAACAGGAUGGACUGAGAGAGGUGUCUUGUACCUGAAGUGAAAAAUAGCAGGUUAGGGAGGAGACUGCAUUUCUCAGUAGCAGCUGCUCCUGGACUAGGCCUAGUUAGACUGGAAUUGCUGGAGAUUUAACAAAAUAAGGACAGGAAUUCCUCCUCCCUUGCAUAGCUGUUGAUGUUAUGUCUAGCUGAUUUGUGCCUGCUUUCUCUCCACUUUGGUGAUAAAAGACUGUUUUCAAACAUGACCAUCUGACUCCAGCUGCACAGACCAAUGUGGUUUUGUUCCAGUCCCACUCUAACAACCAGAUUUUGUGAGAUGUCCUGUUCCUAAUGACAAGGGAACUAAAUGCCCAAACAUCUUUAAAAUCUGCAUUGACUUUGUUCCAUUUUUAUCCAGUUUAUCCCUGUGCUUUUGCAUCACUUAGGUAAAUACUGUAGUAUGAAAAGAGGAAAUAUCCACGUGGAGGAGGCUGGAAAACCUGAAGAGGAGUGCAAUGAGACAGCUUAAAUAGUGUGAUUUGAUUAUCCACAGUCAGCAUGAUUGCCUGAGAAAUACUGUCUCUACCAAAGAGAUUUUUUUUGUUUUGGCUUCUCAGAGGAAAUGGAAAGACUUUUGGUGGAUUGAUAUUUGGCUUAAAAUUAUAUUUACAAAUCUUGUGGAGUAAGUGGAUAUUAUAGAUGUAACAGAGGAGGAUCAAGCUUAUUCAGUGCUGAGGAGCAGGUUUCUAAUUUUAGGGAACCUCUUCCAGACCAGCAUCCAGAGUUUUAUGUUUAGAACAGUUCCUUUUCCUCUCAUCUUUAUGGGUGUCUUAAAGACUUGCCAAGGAAGGCUUGAGCUCCAGGAGUUGCUCAGAAAGUGCUUAAUUUCCCAUCUUGAGGGUAAUGACUCUUCCUAUUAUAUCAGAUCCUUUUGUCUGGUCACGACAGAACCAAUGCUGGGCUUGACAAUCAUCUUUCUGGAUCCUGGUUGCACUGCUCUGGAAGAGUUAAUGGCAAAGUAAGGACAAUUUUGGGAAACUAAGAAAAAGACAGAUGAUAUUUUGAGCUGGAACUAGCAAGUUACUAGCACUGACCAGUGAAGUGUGUUAGAGACAUGAAGACAUUCUUAGAUGUCAAAUAGCUUCACUUCUGUUUCUCAUAAUUAGUGAUUUUCUUUAACAAAGAGCAUUUUUUCUGGCAUUAAGCAACCACUUGGAAUUUCUGCUGUCCCUUACUCUUACACUGUUACUAAGUCUAACUUUUAAAUAUUUGGGAUAUAAUAUACAGCAUGUUACCCUCAUUUAAAAGGUUCAAGUACUGAUGCAGAAAGUCACUUGCCCUGCAAGUAUGCCUGCAAUAAAUACCUUGUUGAGGGAAAGAAUAGAUGGAGAAGAGGUCAUGCAUGGCUGAUGCUGACUGAAGCUAAGUGUGUCCCUGGUACAGUAAAGAUAUUGUUCAGUACUUAUCUUCCUGGUGAAAAUAUUGCUGUUGAAAUAGUACCAACAUAUCCAAGUGUGUUACUUGUCUCUCAUUCCAGCACCAGCUGCUCUGGUUUGUUCUACUUGGUCACAUGUUUUAAGUCAUCCACCUGUAUUCUGCACAGGUAUCAGCCCUCGCUGUGAUCACACUGCUGAUGCUUCUGACCUGAUCUGCGUGCAUUUCGCUAAUGUACCUCACUAGACAGUGCUUCUGGAGGAAGCUUUGCCCAAAGGCACUCCCAUACUCAUGGCUAGAUUGGGAAAUUGGGCCCAGCUGUGAGCAGGGUGACAGAGAAGGCUCACAAGCCUGGGAGAGGCCCUUGCAAGUUUUGCCUUGCACUUGAGAAGCUCCUUCCUGCCACCACAUUGCUCACCACGCUUAGUGGUUUAGUGCCACCAUUUGCACAGGCCUCCCCCUUCCCGGCAGCACUGGGGUGGUAAAUUUGUGCUCACACAGUGUCUCAGUCCAGAUCAGAGGUGUAGCUUGCUGGUAGGAUGCAGGUGGUUGGAGUGGGAGUGUGCAGCGCUCGCAGUCGUGCUGGGUGACAGCUAACCAAGGCGGCUUCCUCCUCCCACGCACCGGGCCCAGCAUGGGGCUUUCUUCCUGUUCUCGCCUGCUGACAAGAUGUGCAGCGGGCUCUCGGUCGGAGUGGGUGGGAUGAGGUCACGUCCUCUGCACCAUGUCAGAAUGGGAGUGAUGAGCAUCUCCCACCUCAGCACAUGAGGAGUCAGCUUCCAGAGAGAAGUUCCACAUGGGCUUAGAAAGCUGCAAGAGCCAACUUUAACUUGCAUCAGUUACAUCGCUCUGCAUGUUUAAUGCCACAUCUGAGUUUUUUGCAUAUGAGUGAAACUGCAGCUCCGGGGCGAUUCAGGGAGUUUUCUCUGCAGAGUAAUUUUGGUUCUUGUCCUGAUUUCUCUCCAGCCUUUCCACUGCUAUUACAGCUCUGGUAUCCUAUAGCAAGUAAGAACAUAACAUUACAACUGUUCACACGUGGGAGAUGGAGGAACUGCAUUAAGAGCCCAUCAGAUAGGAAAACUUGGUGUGAGAACCAUAUGGAAGGGAAGAAGUAUCCCAGACCCAAGAUGCAAGUUUAUGGAUUGCAAGACAGGAGGCCAAACAGCAAAGCAACAUCUAACAAAAUUUCAAAGGAGUUUGUCCAAAUGGUCAAAGAGCACUCCCAGAAGCUCCUCCAGGGGUCUCAGAUGGUUUAUUUUUGAAGAGCACUUUCUCACUCGCUUUGACAUGAGACAUGCAAAGAAACAGUCAAUACUGUUUUACUUAAAUGACAUGUUUCUGCAACUGGAGAAGUGAAAGGUUUGAAGUAAAUGAAGAGAAAUGGCUGCAAGUGCUGGCUGGUUGCUCUGCUGCUUACAGAACUGUCUGGACUUACAGAGAACUAAUUUAAACCGACAGAACACAUACUGCUGUGUUCUGCUUUUUAAACACUGACCUCAGGAGAAGCUCUGCAGCAUGAGAAGCUUAUUAUGGGACUGGACGCCUUGAGUCCCCUGGGAAAGCUCUUCUGCUCUUUGUCCUUUGGAAUACAGAGAAAACCAGACAGAGCCCCAAAACAGCUUUUUUUGCACCUGCCUUCUGCCUCUCCAUCUCUUCCAGCUGGUGAGUAUGCUCAGUUGUGGAAUGCUUUUCACUUUCUCUUAUUCAUGAAGAGAUGGCACAUCUCUUUUGUCACCAUCCCUGAAACAUUUCCUAUUCUUUGUCUUGGAUGCCAUUAAAAAGCCAGCUAUUAAGGAUGGUUACUGUGUUGGAACUUAGUCUUUGUUCACUGAAACUUCUGUAAAAAUUUAGGAUGGGUUUCUUAAGAACUGAAGAGUAAUAACAACCUAUAAAUGAAUUUGAAUCUGACAGCAAAGUGGUGAAAAUAGUGCAUACUUGAUAUCUUUUCUGAAAAUUUUGAAACAUGCAAUAGCUAUCAUUAUAUCUCUUCAGAGUAAACAGGUGCUGUACGUGGACAGGGCAGCUGGACUACAGAGGUUUCUCUUGCAUAGUUCAGGCAUCUGAAAAGAAGUCAUCCUAGUUCAGUUUCACCACUAUUGACCACUCUUUUUAGUCAAACACUGCAAUCUGGAGGGAUGCUUCACCUCAGCUAUCUUAAAACCUAUCCCAGAUGAAGAGGAAGAAAUGUCUCCAGAAAUGGAACUGAGGGACAAUUUGUCAAUGCAUGUUUGGGCUCUAAAGCCGGGUGUCAUGAAGUGGUUUGAUGAAUGGGUAUGACAAGGUAGGAAAACUAGCAGCAAAAGAAGUGAGGGCAGGCAAGGCUUUGUUGUAACUGAGCCUGUCUUCGGCUGACAGGAGGUUGAAUUUUAAUUCCACUUUUGGCCUACUGUCUAUUUGAGACAGGGUCAUUUUCCAUUAUUAUCUCCUUUUUAGCCCUCUUCUUCCUCCAUGCACAGUCUGUUUAAGUAUCGAUCAUUUAUUUAUUCAGUGUGAGAGACAUUCCCUCUUUUCUCCUAGUGAAGACUGAAUCCUGGUGUCUUACUAAUAGUAGAAAAUGUGAGCCAUCUGGUUAAGGUGUCCUGGUAAAAGUGCUCUUAAGUCAUUACUGUUUCAAUUGCUUUAAUGAAUAUCAGUGGAAGAGGAUGAAAAGCCACUUUCAUGUUUCUUAGAGCAAUGCUCUGACCACUGAACUAAACUGCGAUUUACUCACUGGAUUGAUAAAUAACCAAUAAAUGUGAGACAUCACCAGAAACAGGUUGAGGAGGUUAGUGUUUAGAUGGUUUGGCAGUCUCUUGUUAAGGCACUCACUAGAAAAAAUGAAAUAUUUUAACAUAAUAUUCAGAUCGUGUUCUGACUGGUUCAGAACAGUGCCUGAGGCUAAGGUAGUCUACAGGCUCAGUAGCCACUAGGCUACUGGGCUAUUUUCUUGUCAACUCAAGGAAUAUUAAAAUAACAGUAGAGAGUGUCUGAAUAAUCUAAAUGCCUAGUUCAAUGUCUUCGGGCAUUCUUUUUGGAGAAAAGUGGUUUGGAUUAAAAUUGUGUUUAGUGAAGGACAGAAUGGAACCAGUCUUAUGUGUCUGGGUAGGGCUGUAAUAAUUGGAAUAGAGUGAGUAACCAGAGUGAUAGUUAGCAACAUUAUCAGCAUCUAGCUCUCAAAUGCUAAUUGCACUUGUUCAGGGUAAAUCCAGAAAUAAUUUCAGGAUUCCCGAAAUUAUACUUCUUGGCAAACACUGUGUGUUAUUUCACCUGAUCUUGAUUUGUCAUAUAAUCAGCCCACAGCACCUAUCGAGUUGCUCGUAAUGGCUGCUUUAGUAGGCAAUAUGUGAAAAUACAGGAAACAAAAAUUUGGAAACUAUGUACCCUAAAUUGCAUCCUUGGCUCUCUUGGCUUCAUUGGAACAUUCUGAAUUAUCUAAGACCUUCAUUCCUUUAAUUUCUAUUUUUCUUCUCUAAUGAAUCUUUAUCAAAUAAUCUCAGCCAUUUUGGCAGUAUUCUCCACAGUAAAAGUUGUUAAUUAGCAAAUUAAAAGGCACCAUCUCAAUUUUAAAUUUUUUUUCAAAAAAAAAAUGCAGUUAAAAUAACUGUUAUUUUGGAGCCCUUCCCCCUCAUCUGAGUGCAAGUGUCAGAAAGGAAAUCUGUUUAAUCUUCACUCUUAUACUUUCCUGAUUCACCUGGCUGCUCUUGGGAAUUUAGGGGGGAGCAGCUCAGCAUGGUAGAUGAAAAUUACAAACUAAGUUUUAUGGAAUGCUUUAGGAUGAAUGAGACUCCACUGUUAUUGUCCCUCACUAUUGCCUCCCCUCAGCUCCUGUCUGCCAUAUGAAGAAAAGUGCAAGCAAAGUAUUUGUGCUAGAAUAUAGAUUUAAUAACAACGUAACUGUUAUUUCUGACCUUAGUGUGAAAGUUAGUUGAAUGAUAUUCAGGCCAGAUCUACAAUCAACAGUAUAUCCUUUGUUAUCAGCAAUAUUGCACUCUCUAUAAUGAAAGAAAAUAUCUCCAUAACAAGCAAAAAAAAAUCCCAGCAGGCCAACCAACAAAAUAAAACUUGAGAGCCUUGAGUCUAGGAAGCCUCAUAAAUUGUUUUCCAUGUAUUUUAUUUUUUUAUUUAGAAAAGUUAGGACAAUAGUUUCUCUUCAGAAAAUGUUUGCUAUCAAAUAAUAUGAACUACUCAGUUAUUUCCUUGCUGAAACCACAAGUUAUGAUGUGCAAUAUGAUUUUGCUGGUCCUUUUAGAUGAUUGCAGGUUACAAGCUAAGAAUAGUGCACUCCCUUGUAAAAGAUACUUUAGCUUCAAUAUGAGAUGACAGCAAUGCUGUGCUUGGUUGAAAUAUGCAGGAUGUUCCCAUGUAUGGAGCUAAGUUAUUCUUUUAACAGGUAAAAGUGAAUUCUGUGGUAUAAACAAAAAAACCCAUGGGCUUCACAGAGGUGAUACACCAUAAGCUAAGAGGCCGGUGAGCCUGGCCCUCAGCUGGCAUUAAAAAGGAAAGAAUUACUGCCUCAAAUCAGCAUAAAGAGCUGAAGAGAGGCAGAGGCAGAUUAGAAGAGUGUGGAAAUGGGAAUUGCCUUACUGCUUUGACAGUAAUUUACCUGCACUGCGGCUAUCUUAUGAAAAUGUCAGCACCUCAUGUGAAUGAGAAUGCAUGUCUCUAGAAGGGCAAAGCACAAAGUCUGCUUGAGGCAGGAGUGGGAAAAUCCGUGAGCAGCCUAUAUCUUACCACAUGAAUUUCAGCUGAAAAGCUUUCUGCUCCAGAAGAAACGCCUUGUUUUAGAACACAUUAUUUUCUUGAGUCUCUACCUGAGUGGUUGUGGAGGUGACAUAAACUU